GAUGAAGAACGUAGCGAAAUGCGAUACUUGGUGUGAAUUGCAGAAUCCCGUGAACCAUCGAGUCUUUGAACGCAAGUUGCGCCCGAAGCCAUUAGGCCGAGGGCACGCGUGCCUGGGCGUCACACGUCGUUGCCCCCCCAUCUACUCCUUCGGGAUUGCGGGGGGCGGAUGAUGGCCUCCCGUGCGCCUCGCCGCGCGGUUGGCAUAAAUGCCAAGUCCUCGGCGACGCACGCCACGACAAUCGGUGGUUGCGAAACCUCGGUUGCCCGUCGUGUGCGGUCGUCGCGCAUCGAGGGCUCGAAAAAAUUGCCGGGUUCCGGCUCGGCUUUCAACGCGACCCCAGGUCAGGCGGGGUUACCCGCUGAAUUUAAGCAUAUCAAUAAGCGGAGGA
rnacentral:misc_RNA from 1 species